rnacentral:rRNA from 1 species
ACGGGUGAGUAACGCGUGAGAAUCUGCCCUUUAGUGGAGAAUACCCUCGGGAAACCGAGGUUAAUACUGCAUACGUCCCUGCGGGGAGAAAGAUGGCCUCUUUGCUAUCGCUAAAGGAUGAGCUUGCGUACUAUUAGCUAGUUGGUGGGGUAAUGGCCUACCAAGGCGAUGAUGGUUAGCCGGCCUGAGAGGGUGAACGGCCACAUUGGAACUGAGACACGGUCCAGACUCCUACGGGAGGCAGCAGUGAGGGAUAUUGCGCAAUGGGCGAAAGCCUGACGCAGCGACACCGCGUGAAGGAUGAAGGUCUUAGGAUCGUAAACUUCUGUUAAGUGGGAAGAAAAGCAUGGCCCUAAUAUGGUCAUGAAAUGACGGUACCACUAGAGAAAGCACCGGCUAACUUCGUGCCAGCAGCCGCGGUAAGACGAGGGGUGCAAACGUUAUUCGGAAUGAUUGGGCGUAAAGGGUGCGCAGGCGGCACAUUAAGUCAAUUGUUAAAUUUCCCGGCCUAACCGGGAGUCAGCGAUAGAAACUGGUGUGCUUGAGGGUGGAAGAGAGAAGUGGAAUUCUCGGA